UACGUAGGGGGCUAGCGUUGUCCGGAAUCAUUGGGCGUAAAGAGCGCGUAGGCGGCCCGGUAAGUCCGCUCUGAAAGUCAAAGGCUCAACCUUUGAAAGCGGGUGGAUACUGCCGGGCUAGAGUCCGGAAGAGGCGAGUGGAAUUCCUGGUGUAGCGGUGGAAUGCGCAGAUAUCAGGAGGAACACCAACGGCGAAGGCAGCUCGCUAGGACGGUACUGACGCUGAGGCGCGAAAGCGUGGGGAGCGAACAGG
rnacentral:rRNA from 1 species